CCCGGUCACAUUCCGAACCCGGAAGCUAAGACUCUUUGCGCCGAUGGUACUGCAGGGGGGACCCUGUGGGAGAGUAGGACACCGCCGGAC
rnacentral:rRNA from 1 species